UUCAUAAGACAACUCCUUUAAAAAUAGCAGUGUGUGUUUGGGAACACUGCCUGCCUGUUCCUGCCAUAGGAUACUCACUUAACGUUGCAUUUCCCUAUUGUGUCAGCAUGAGGCUUUUGACCCUGAAGGUGGAGCCAGACUUUCAAAUUCUUCACUGAAAUCCCAGCAGCUGCAGGACCCUCAUGGUUAACAAAGCUUCUGUGACACCAUGAUAUCCAGGAUGAAGACAGUAAUAUGUAUUUAGGAGGGUGACGGUAUCUGGGAUGGCACUAGUGCAGAGGUAUGAGUGUUACUGUGGCUCACAGUGAUGUCCUGGAAUCCAAGCUAUGUCUGUCUUGUUAUUUAUGAGAACAAUCAUGGAGAGGCAAAAUACAUUUCAAUUCCAGUCUGAAAUACUUUAAACAAUACCAGCGAAGGCAACAGGAAGAGGCUGCCCCAGUGUUUUCAUAUAGGCAUGAAAAGAAAUUGAAAUGGUGUCUAAAUUAGACAAUUGCCCUUGGAGGUUUUCCUAAUUAUCAGUGAUUUGUUCCAAAUCAACUAACACAGUAAUUGCUGCCAAGUCUGUAAAUCCAAAGGGAUUACUAAUGGCUGAACAAUACAUAGGUGAUUUUAAAACCUCAGUAAGUUUUGAG